rnacentral:rRNA from 1 species
CCUACGGGAGGCAGCAGUGGGGAAUAUUGCACAAUGGGGGCAAGCCUGAUCCAGCGACGCCGCGUGUAGGAAGAAGUCCUUCGGUAUGUAAACUUCUAUUAGCAGGGACGAAAAUGCCGUUAAUUGACUAAAAAGCCCCGGCUAACUACGUGCCAGUAGCCGCGGUAAUACGUAGGGGGUACGCGUGAUCCGGAUUUACUGGGGGUAAAGGGAGUGGGGGCGGCGUUGCAAGACAGAUGUGAAAGCCCGGGGCUUAACUUGGGGACGGCAUUUAGGACUGGGAUUCUAGAUGGCAGGAGAGGGAAGUGGAAUUCCAAGUGUAGCAGUGAAAUGCGUAGAUAUUAGGAGGAACACCGGUGGCGAAGGCGGCCUACUGGAAUGCAAAUGACGCUGAGGCUCGAAAGCGUGGGGAGCAAACAGGAUUAGAUACCCGAGUAGUC